UACGUAGGUGGCAAGCGUUGUCCGGAAUUAUUGGGCGUAAAGCGCGCGCAGGCGGCCUUUAAGUCUGAUGUGAAAUCUUGCGGCUCAACCGCAAGCGGUCAUUGGAAACUGGAGGGCUUGAGUACAGAAGAGGAGAGUGGAAUUCCUGGUGUAGCAGUGAAAUGCGUAGAUAUCAGGAGGAAUACCGAUGGCGAAGGCAGCCCCCUGGGUCGAUACUGACGCUCAUGCACGAAAGCGUGGGGAGCAAACAGG
rnacentral:rRNA from 1 species